rnacentral:rRNA from 1 species
AACGAACGCUGGCGGCAUGCCUAACACAUGCAAGUCGAACGAGACCUUCGGGUCUAGUGGCACACGGGUGCGUAACGCGUGGGAACCUGCCCUUAGGUUCGGAAUAACUCACCGAAAGAGGUGCUAAUACCGGAUAAUGUCUUCGGACCAAAGAUUUAUCGCCUUUGGAUGGGCCCGCGUUGGAUUAGCUAGUUGGUAGGGUAAAAGCCUACCAAGGCGACGAUCCAUAGCUGGUCGGAGAGGAGGAUCAGCCACAAUGGGACUGAGACACGGCCCAGACUCCGACGGGAGGGAGCAGUGGGGAAUAUUGGACGAGGGGCGAAAGCCUGAUCCAGCAAUGCCGCGUGAGUGAUGAAGGGCGUAGGGUUGUAAAGCUCUUUUACACGGGAUGAUAAUGACAGUACCGGGAGAAGAAGCACCGGCUAACUCCGUG